rnacentral:rRNA from 1 species
UAAUACGGAGGAUGCGAGCGUUAUCCGGAUUCAUUGGGUUUAAAGGGUGCGCAGGCGGGCGUAUAAGUCAGGGGUGAAAUGCCACGGCUCAACCGUGGAACUGCCUUUGAUACUGUAUGUCUUGAGUUUAGUUGAAGUGGGCGGAAUGUAGCAUGUAGCGGUGAAAUGCAUAGAGAUGCUACAGAACACCAAUCGCGAAGGCAGCUCACUAAACUUUAACUGACGCUCAUGCACGAAAGCGUGGGGAGCAAACAGGAUUAGAUACCCUGGUAGUCCACGCCGUAAACGAUGAUCACUCGCUGUUGGCGAUAUAUUGUCAGUGGCUAAGCAAAAGUGAUAAGUGAUCCACCUGGGGAGUACGACCGCAAGGUUGAAACUCAAAGGAAUUGACGGGGGCCCGCACAAGCGGAGGAGCAUGUGGUUUAAUUCGACGCAACGCGAAGAACCUUACCAGGGCUUGACAUCCUCUGAUGUCCAUAGAGAUAUGGAGUUUGAUCUUCGGAUUGACAGAGAGACAGGUGGUGCAUGGUUGUCGUCAGCUCGUGUCGUGAGAUGUUGGGUUAAGUCCCGCAACGAGCGCAACCCUUAUUCUUAGUUGCCAGCAUUAAGUUGGGCACUCUAAGGAGACUGCCGGUGACAAACCGGAGGAAGGUGGGGAUGACGUCAAAUCAUCAUGCCCUUUAUGUCCUGGGCUACACACGUGCUACAAUGGCCUGUACAGAGGGUAGCGAAGCUGUGAAGUGGAGCCAAUCCCAAAAAGCAGGUCUCAGUUCGGAUUGUAGGCUGCAACUCGCCUACAUGAAGUCGGAAUCGCUAGUAAUCGCGAAUCAGCAUGUCGCGGUGAAUACGUUCCCGGGCCUUGUACACACCGCCCGUCACACCACGAAAGUUGACAACACCCGAAGCCGGUGUACUAACCGUAAGGAAGAAGCCGUCGAAGGUGGGGCCGAUGAUUGGGGUG